AACCAGCACCUCAAGUGGUCAGGAUGAUUAUUGGGCCUAAAGCAUCCGUAGCCUGCUAUGUUAGUUUUCGGUUAAAUCCAUGCGCUCAACGCAUGGGCUGCCGAAAAUACUGCACAGCUAGGGAGUGUGAGAGGUAGACGGUACUCAAUAGGAAGGGGUAAAAUCCUUUGAUCUAUUGAUGACCACCUGUGGCGAAGGCGGCCACCUGGACUGAUACUGACACUGAGGUGCGAAAGCGUGGGGAGCAAACAGG
rnacentral:rRNA from 1 species